rnacentral:rRNA from 1 species
AUUGAACGCUGGCGGCAUGCCUUACACAUGCAAGUCGAACGGUAACAGGUCUUCGGACGCUGACGAGUGGCGAACGGGUGAGUAAUGCAUCGGAACGUGCCCAGUCGUGGGGGAUAACUGCUCUAAAGAGCAGCUAAUACCGCAUACGACCUGAGGGUGAAAGCGGGGGACCGUAAGGCCUCGCGCGAUUGGAGCGGCCGAUGUCAGAUUAGCUAGUUGGUGGGGUAAAGGCCUACCAAGGCAACGAUCUGUAGUUGGUCUGAGAGGACGACCAGCCACACUGGGACUGAGACACGGCCAAGACUCCUACGGGAGGCAGCAGUGGGGAAUGUUGGACAAUGGGCGCAAGCAUGAUCCAGCAAUGCCGCGUGCAGGAAGAAGGCCUUCGGGUUGUAAACUGCGUUUGUGAGGGAAGAAAUCUUCUGGGCUAAUACCCCGGGAGGAUGACGGUACCUGAAGAAUAAGCACCGGCUAACUACGUG